rnacentral:misc_RNA from 1 species
GUGAAUCAUCGAAUUUUUGAACGCAAAUUGCACUCUCUUCGGAGAGUAUGCCUGUUUGAGGGUCAGCCUAAAAAAAAUCGACAUAGUUGCUGUUUCGCGGUGACAUUCGUCGGAAAUUGGGUCAUCUUAAACCUUUGGGUUUUAAGCGGCUUAAAAUUUUCUUUACGAUUCAAUGAACGUUUCUAAGAUUUAUUUCUUUACACGUUUAAGGUAUCGAUUUUUUUUAGGCGUGGCCGUAAUAUCGGUUCAUGUCAU